rnacentral:rRNA from 1 species
CCUACGGGGGGCAGCAGUGAGGAAUAUUGGUCAAUGGGCUUACGCCUGAACCAGCCAAGUCGCGUGAGGGAAGACUGCCCUAUGGGUUGUAAACCUCUUUUGUCAGGGAGCAACGCCGGCUACGUGUAGCCGGACUGAGAGUACCUGAAGAAAAAGCAUCGGCUAACUCCGUGCCAGCAGCCGCGGUAAUACGGAGGAUGCGAGCGUUAUCCGGAAUUACUGGGCGUAAAGGGCGCGUAGGUGGGUGCUUAAGUCAGGUGUGAAAACUCUGGGCUCAACCUGGAGACUGCACUUGAAACUGGGUA